GAUGAACGCUGGCGGCGUGCCUAACACAUGCAAGUCGAGCGAUUUACUUCGGUAAAGAGCGGCGGACGGGUGAGUAACGCGUGGGUAACCUGCCCUGUACACACGGAUAACAUACCGAAAGGUAUGCUAAUACGGGAUAAUAUGCUUUUAUCGCAUGGUAGAAGUAUCAAAGCUCCGGCGGUACAGGAUGGACCCGCGUCUGAUUAGCUAGUUGGUAAGGUAACGGCUUACCAAGGCGACGAUCAGUAGCCGACCUGAGAGGGUGAUCGGCCACAUUGGAACUGAGACACGGUCCAAACUCCUACGGGAGACAGCAGUGGGGAAUAUUGCACAAUGGGCGAAAGCCUGAUGCAGCAACGCCGCGUGAGCGAUGAAGGCCUUCGGGUCGUAAAGCUCUGUCCUCAAGGAAGAUAAUGACGGUACUUGAGGAGGAAGCCCCGGCUAACUACGUGCCAGCCGCCGCCGUAA
rnacentral:rRNA from 1 species